GACGAACGCUGGCGGCGUGCUUAACACAUGCAAGUCGAACGGAAAGGCCUUUUCGGAGGUACUCGAGUGGCGAACGGGUGAGUAACACGUGGGUGAUCUGCCCUGCACUCUGGGAUAAGCCUGGGAAACUGGGUCUAAUACCGGAUAGGACCGCACUUUAGUGUGUGUGGUGGAAAGUUUUUUCGGUGUAGGAUGAGCCCGCGGCCUAUCAGCUUGUUGGUGGGGUAAUGGCCUACCAAGGCGGCGACGGGUAGCCGGACUGAGAGGUUGGUCGGCCACAUUGGGACUGAGAUACGGCCCAGACUCCUACGGGAGGCAGCAGGGGGGAAGAUUGCACAAUGGGCGCAAGCCUGAUGCAGCGACGCCGCGUGGGGGAGGACGGCCUUCGGGUUGUAAACUCCUUUCGCCAGGGACGAAGCGUUUUGUGACGGUACCUGGAGAAGAAGCACCGGCUAACUACGUG
rnacentral:rRNA from 1 species